UACGUAGGUCCCGAGCGUUGUCCGGAUUAAUUGGGCGUAAAGCGAGCGCAGGUGGUUUAUUAAGUCUGGUGUAAAAGGCAGUGGCUCAACCAUUGUAUGCAUUGGAAACUGGUAGACUUGAGUGCAGGAGAGGAGAGUGGAAUUCCAUGUGUAGCGGUGAAAUGCGUAGAUAUAUGGAGGAACACCGGUGGCGAAAGCGGCUCUCUGGCCUGUAACUGACACUGAGGCUCGAAAGCGUGGGGAGCAAACAGG
rnacentral:rRNA from 1 species